rnacentral:rRNA from 1 species
AUUACCGAGUUGUCGAAAGACAAUCUCCCGUUCUUGAUGUGUGACUAUGUUGCCUUGCCUUCGGGCAGGAUAAAUUCUGAAUCAGUGUUGUCUGAGAACUUUUUAAUCAAUUAAAACUUUCAACAACGGAUCUCUUGGUUCUGGCAUCGAUGAAGAACGCAGCGAAAUGCGAUAAGUAAUGUGAAUUGCAGAAUUCCGUGAAUCAUCGAAUCUUUGAACGCACAUUGCGCCCUUUGGUAUUCCGAAGGGCAUGCCUGUUCGAGCGUCAUUACACUCUCAUUAUGGUGUUGGGAAUUGCGUAAGCACUCCUUAAAAACAGUGGUGAUACGUGUCUACUCACGCAAAGUAAUCUCUGCGAAGGAUAGAUGCGGACGCACCGAAAUCUUCUGUUUGACCUCGGAUCAGGUAGGGAUACCCGCUGAACUUAAGCAUAUCAAUAAGCGGAGGAAAAGAAACCAACAGGGAUUGCCUCAGUAACGGCGAGUGAAGCGGCAACAGCUCAAAUUUGAAACCUGCCAACAGGCCGGAUUGUAAUUUGUAGAGGAUGCUUUGGAGUUGGCUCUGAUCUAAGUUUCUUGGAACAGAACGUCACAGAGGGUGAGAAUCCCGUACGUGGUCGGUGGCCUUCUCUAUGUAAAGCUCCUUCGACGAGUCGAGUUGUUUGGGAAUGCAGCUCAAAAUGGGUGGUAAAUUUCAUCUAAAGCUAAAUAUUGGCCAGAGACCGAUAGCGCACAAGUAGAGUGAUCGAAAGAUGAAAAGCACUUUGGAAAGAGAGUUAAACAGCACGUGAAAUUGUUGAAAGGGAAGCGCUUGCAACCAGACUUGCGCGUAGGUAAUCACGAGUGGUUCGCUGCUCUGCACUUGCCUACGCUCAGGCCAGCAUCAGUUCUAGGGGUGGGAUAAAGGCCGUUGGAAUGUGGCUCUUCGGAGUGUUAUAGCCUUCGGUGCCAUGCCGCCUCCCGGGA